GUGGGGAAUUUUGGACAAUGGGCGAAAGCCUGAUCCAGCCAUGCCGCGUGCAGGAUGAAGGCCUUCGGGUUGUAAACUGCUUUUGUACGGAACGAAACGGUCCGGGUUAAUACCCUGGGCUAAUGACGGUACCGUAAGAAUAAGCACCGGCUAACUACGUGCCAGCAGCCGCGGUAAUACGUAGGGUGCAAGCGUUAAUCGGAAUUACUGGGCGUAAAGCGCGCGUAGGUGGUUUUGUAAGUUGGAGGUGAAAUCCCCGGGCUCAACCUGGGAACUGCAUUUGUGACUGUAUAGCUAGAGUACGGUAGAGGGGGAUGGAAUUCCGCGUGUAGCAGUGAAAUGCGUAGAUAUGCGGAGGAACACCGAUGGCGAAGGCAAUCCCCUGGACCUGUACUGACGCUCAUGCACGAAAGCGUGGGGAGCAAACAGGAUUAGAUACCCGUGUAGUCC
rnacentral:rRNA from 1 species